rnacentral:lncRNA from 1 species
CACCUUUCCAAUGGCGGUUCCAUUUAGAAGAAAAGCAAAAUGAGGAAAAGCUUUCCUCAUUUCUCCUCUCUGACUGCAAACACUCAGAAAUGACCUCACAUACCCUAAAGAGCCCCGGAAUGACUAAGGCAGAGAGAGCCUGAGAAAAGUCUUCCUUUCUUCUGCCUUUAGUUUUAGGGCACAUGUAUGCAGAUGAGGGUGUAAGAGACUGUUCCCCCGCCUUCUUCCUCAGAGGAAGUUUCUUGGUAGAUCACUGACACCUCAUCCAGGCGGGGGCUG